rnacentral:rRNA from 1 species
CCUACGGGAGGCAGCAGUGGGGAAUAUUGGACAAUGGGGGCAACCCUGAUCCAGCCAUGCCGCGUGUGUGAAGAAGGCCCUCGGGUUGUAAAGCACUUUCAGUGAGGAAGAACGCCUGGUGGUUAAUACCCAUCAGGAAAGACAUCACUCACAGAAGAAGCACCGGCUAACUCCGUGCCAGCAGCCGCGGUAAUACGGAGGGUGCGAGCGUUAAUCGGAAUUACUGGGCGUAAAGCGCGCGUAGGUGGCUUGAUAAGCCGGUUGUGAAAGCCCCGGGCUCAACCUGGGAACGGCAUCCGGAACUGUCAAGCUAGAGUGCAGGAGAGGAAGGUAGAGUUCCCGGUGUAGCGGUGAAAUGCGUAGAGAUCGGGAGGAAUACCAGUGGCGAAGGCGGCCUUCUGGACUGACACUGACACUGAGGUGCGAAAGCGUGGGUAGCAAACAGGAUUAGAUACCCGGGUAGUC